ACAGCAGCCGCCGCGGUAAUACGUAGGGUGCGAGCGUUAAUCGGAAUUACUGGGCGUAAAGCGUGCGCAGGCGGUUCGUUGAGACAGAUGUGAAAUCCCCGGGCUUAACCUGGGAACUGCAUUUGUGACUGGCGAGCUAGAGUAUGGCAGAGGGGGGUAGAAUUCCACGUGUAGCAGUGAAAUGCGUAGAGAUGUGGAGGAAUACCGAUGGCGAAGGCAGCCCCCUGGGCCAAUACUGACGCUCAUGCACGAAAGCGUGGGGAGCAAACAGGAUUAGAUACCCGCGUAGUCCCUGUCUCUUAUAC
rnacentral:rRNA from 1 species